rnacentral:tRNA from 1 species
GGGAAGGUGGCUCAGUGGUAGAGUGCUUGUCUUGCAUGCAUGAGGCCCUGGGUUCGAUUCCUCACCACCACA